rnacentral:rRNA from 1 species
GAUGAACGCUGGCGGCGUGCCUAAUACAUGCAAGUCGAGCGAACAGACGAGGAGCUUGCUCCUCUGACUUUAUCGGCGGACGGGUGAGUAACACGUGGAUAACCUACCUAUAAGACUGGGAUAACUUUGGGAAACCGGAGCGAAUACCGGAUAAUAUAUUGAACCGCAUUGUUCAAUAGUGAAAGACGGUUUUGCUGUCACUUAUAGAUGGAUCCGCGCCGCAUUAGCUAGUUGGUAAGGUAACGGCUUACCAAGGCAACGAUGCGUAGCCGACCUGAGAGGGUGAUCGGCCACACUGGAACUGAGACACGAUCCAGACUCCUACGGGAGGCAGCAGUAGGGAAUCUUCCGCAAUGGGCGAGAGCUUGACGGAGCAACGCCGCGUGAGUGAUGAAGGUCUUCGGAUCGUAAAACUCUGUUAUUAGGGAAGAACAAAUGUGUAAGUAACUAUGCACGUCUUGACGGUACCUAAUCAGAAAGCCACGGCUAACUACGUG